GGCGGCGUGCCUAACACAUGCAAGUCGAACGGAUUUGAGGGGCUUGCUCCUCAAGUUAGUGGCGCACGGGUGAGUAACGCGUAGAUAAUCUGCCUGAUGAUCCGGGAUAACACUUCGAAAGGGGUGCUAAUACCGGAUAAGCCCACGGGGUCUUUGGAUUCUGCGGGAAAAGGGGGGGACCUUCGGGCCUUCUGUCAUCARAUGAGUCUGCGCACCAUUAGCUAGUUGGUAGGGUAAUGGCCUACCAAGGCUACSAUGGUUAGCUGGUUUGAGAGAAUGAUCAGCCACACUGGAACUGAGACACGGUCCASACUCCUACKGGAGGCAGCWGUGGGGAAUUUUGCGCAWUGGGCGAAAGYCUGACGCAGCWACGCCGCGUGAGUGAUGAAGGCUUUCSGGUCGUWAAGCUCUGUCGAGGGGAAARAACYGUAUUGUGGYUAAUAUCYKCGAUACUUGGCGGUACCCCUAAAGGAAGCACCGGCUACCUYCGUGCCRUUAGCCGCGGUAAUAC
rnacentral:rRNA from 1 species